AAAAAAACCAGGUGGAAAACGGAGUCCUUUUCGUCGCACUAAACGUUAAGGGCCGAGGCAACAACUUGAGAGAGAAAGGUGGUGGAAGCGAUACCAGUGACAGCAGGUUACCUCAACUUGAUUGUGCAACUGAAGCACCAUCUGCGCACAAGACUCGGAGAUAUCUGAAAUUCGCUCCGGCAACUUCGCCGCCGGUCCGGUCGUACAGUCUCCAGCAAUUCUCGAAAAAUGCCAGAAUCUUCUGCCUGCAACAGUCCACAUCCACACAAAGAAUUGAGAUUCAUCGAGAGAGUUCAGACAAAAAUAGGUACCGGUUUUUUGAGCAGAGUAAACGGCAAGGAGCGUGAUGGAGUCGCU